GGGGAAUAUUGGACAAUGGGCGAAAGCCUGAUUCAGCCAUGCCGCGUGAGUGAUGAAGGCCUUAGGGCUGUAAAGCUCUUUUAGUGGGGACGAUAAUGACGGUACCCACAGAAAAAGCCCCGGCUAACUUCGUGCCAGCAGCCGCGGUAAUACGAAGGGGGCUAGCGUUGUUCGGAUUUACUGGGCGUAAAGCGCACGUAGGCGGAUCGUUAAGUCGGGGGUGAAAUCCUGGAGCUCAACUCCAGAACUGCCUUCGAUACUGGCGAUCUUGAGUCCGGAAGAGGUGAGUGGAACUCCUAGUGUAGAGGUGGAAUUCGUAGAUAUUAGGAAGAACACCAGUGGCGAAGGCGGCUCACUGGUCCGGUACUGACGCUGAGGUGCGAAAGCGUGGGGAGCAAAC
rnacentral:rRNA from 1 species